rnacentral:misc_RNA from 1 species
GCUGCUCAACAAGGUACAUAUCUUGCUAGAUGCUUUAACCGCUGGGAUCAAUGCAAAAGUAAUCCUGAAGGACCUCGCCGUUUUAAAAGCUCUGGACGUCAUGAAUUUCUUCCCUUCGAGUAUCGUCAUUUAGGGCAAUUCGCCCCUUUAGGUGGAGAUCAAGCAGCAGCAGAACUUCCCGGAGACUGGGUUUCUAUGGGCCAUAGCACACAGUGGCUA